UACGUAGGAUGCAAGCGUUAUCCGGAAUGAUUGGGCGUAAAGCGUCUGUAGGUGGCUUUUUAAGUCCGCCGUCAAAUCCCAGGGCUCAACCCUGGACAGGCGGUGGAAACUACCAAGCUGGAGUACGGUAGGGGCAGAGGGAAUUUCCAGUGGAGCGGUGAAAUGUGUAGAUAUUGGAAAGACCACCGAUGGCGAAGGCACUCUACUGGGCCAUGACUGACACUGAGAGACGAAAGCUAGGGGAGCAAAUGGG
rnacentral:rRNA from 1 species